AUGGUGUCUGUCAAAAUCCUUGCCCUCCUCAUGGCAGUGCUCCCAGGAGUCUGUGCCCAGGUGCAGCUGGUGCAGUCCGGGGCAGAGGUGAAGAGACCUGGGGAGUCUCUGAAGAUCUCCUGCAAGGCAUCUGGAUACAGCUUUACUAGCGAGUGGAUCAGCUGGGUGCGGCAGAUGCCCGGAAAAGGCUUGGAGUGGGUGGGAGACAUAUAAUCCUGGUGGUUCUGAUCCCAGGUACAGCCCGUUCUUCCAAGGCCAAGUCACCAUCUCCAGAGACAACUCCAUCAGCACCACCUUCCUGCAGUGGAGCGGCCUGAAGGCCACGGACACAGCCAUGUAUUACUGUGUGAGGGGCACAGUGAGAGAAACCACAUCCCGAGAGGGACAGAAACCCUCAGCCAGCUGUGGAUGCAGAGCAGAGCCCUCAGGGGCACAUCCACCCGGGAUAAGUGAAAACCACAUUUGA